rnacentral:sRNA from 1 species
UCCAUCUGUGGUUGGCCCCAAAGGCUUGGUUCUUUUUCUUUACUCUGUUUUUCUCUCUAUGUAGAUCAGGCACAACCUCUCAGAAGUGCUUCUUGCCACCAUGAACAUCUUGUUCACACAGUUUAAGAGGCUGAAGGGGACAAGUCCAUCCUCGUCAUCCAGGCCCCAGCGAGUCAUCGAGGACCGCGACUCUCAACUCCGAAGUCAAGCCCGCACCCUGAUUACCUUUGCUGGAAUGAUACCAUACCGAACAUCUGGGGACACCAAUGCGAGGCUGGUGCAGAUGGAGGUCCUCAUGAAUUAAGUGCCAUGCUUUGGGGGAGUCUGGGUCGGCACACUGUCAGUACAUCAGGCACAUGGGCCCACUAGGCUGGGGUUUCUGGUUUUGUUUCUGUUGUGUUUUGUUUUGGUUUCUGUAUUAUGUAUUUUUGUCAACACCAAUAAAUUUCUUUGAUUUG